CCUACGGGAGGCUGCAGUCGAGAAUCAUUCACAAUGGGGGAAACCCUGAUGGUGCGACGCCGCGUGGGGGAAUGAAGGUCUUCGGAUUGUAAACCCCUGUCAUGUGGGAGCAAAUUAAAAAGAUAGUACCACAAGAGGAAGAGACGGCUAACUCUGUGCCAGCAGCCGCGGUAAUACAGAGGUCUCAAGCGUUGUUCGGAAUCACUGGGCGUAAAGCGUGCGUAGGCUGUUUCGUAAGUCGGGUGGGAAAGGGGCGGGCUCAACCCGCGGACGGCACAUGAUACUGGGAGACUGGAGUAAUGGAGGGGGAACCGGAAUUCUCGGUGUAGCAGUGAAAUGCGUAGAUAUCGAGAAGAACACUGGUGGCGAAGGCGGGUUCCUGGACAUUAACUGACGCUGAGGCACGAAGGCCAGGGGAGCGAAAGGGAUUAGAUACCCCUGUAGUC
rnacentral:rRNA from 1 species